GUGGGGAAUAUUGGACAAUGGGCGCAAGCCUGAUCCAGCAAUGCCGCGUGGAUGAAGAAGGUUUUCGGAUUGUAAAGUCCUUUCGACGGGGACGAUGAUGACGGUACCCGUAGAAGAAGCCCCGGCUAACUUCGUGCCAGCAGCCGCGGUAAUACGAAGGGGGCUAGCGUUGCUCGGAAUGACUGGGCGUAAAGGGCGCGUAGGCGGUUUGUCUAGUCAGGCGUGAAAUUCCUGGGCUCAACCUGGGGACUGCGCUUGAUACAGGCAGACUAGAGUGUGAAAGAGGGUUGUGGAAUUCCCAGUGUAGAGGUGAAAUUCGUAGAUAUUGGGAAGAACACCGGUGGCGAAGGCGGCAACCUGGUUCAUUACUGACGCUGAGGCGCGAAAGCGUGGGGAGCAAACAGGAUUAGAUACCCUUGUAGUCC
rnacentral:rRNA from 1 species